rnacentral:lncRNA from 1 species
CAGCUGUGAGCGAAAAGUGCGGGGUUGUUUUCGGGAUUAAGGUAAAAUAUGUUUUGUUCUCUUUAGCCGCAGUCAUCUGUUUUAUAGGACCGUGACACACGCGAACAACGAGUCAGUAAAGAUUUAUGUGAGCGUCUCCUUCUUACAACACGCAGCAGUGGAAGAUGGAGAUCAGAUUAAUAGCUUACUGUACAUGUGCAUUGAUCUAAUGAAAUGGAUUUCAUAGGAUUUUAUACUCCCUUCACUUCAACCCACAACUUUGGAAGGAACGAUGCUGAAGGAGAGAGUGUAAAUGCAAGCAAGCAUGAUUUCAGUCGAGGACUGGAGCCCAGACCAAGUGUCCACAUGGAUAAAGCAUAUUGGAUUUCCUCAAUAUGCGCAGAGUUUUGUGGAAAAUGGCGUUUCUGGAUUAGACCUUUUGGAAGUCACUGGUUCAGUUUUAGGUAAGACUUUUUUGUCUUACAUUUUUUAUAAAUUAAAAGACACUUUCAGGC